UUGCUCCUUGGUUGCCAUUCUCGUAGGUCAUAAACCGGCUGUGCCUGGACGCAGAUGAGUGAGCCGCGUCUGGGCUCAUCCGCUCCCGGGGAGAGGCCCUGGGACGCCCCGCCUGCCGGUGGCAAUGCCCUCUGUCCCCUUCCACCCACCCCCAACCCCCAGCAAAUGCUCUCCCAGCCCAUUUCAGAUUUCCCGAGGCGUGUGGAAUAAACGUCCCCCAGGAGGCCAAGGACUCCAGUCCUUGUCCUGCCAUGUUUCCUGCCUUUUAACACCCAGCUCAAGUUCCGGCCUCAAUGUCACCUUCCCUGGCAGCCUCUCAGGACCUCCCUGGCAAAGCCACUCACUUCUCGGUGUCUCCCCAGCUUGGUCAGAGUCUAAACUUGCAAGAGGCAGAAAAAUGACAGUUAAAAGCAAGGCCUCUGGGGUUCAACAGCCUGGAUUUGGAAUCGUGGCUCUGCUGCUGACUCGCUGAGACCUUGAGCCGGUUUCCUCACCUCAGGAUCCUCAUCUGUCAAGUGGCGACGACAACCAAACCGAUUUCAUAAGAAGUUCAUGAGGAUUAAAUGUGUUAACUCUUAAUGAAAUACCCAAAACAGCAUUCCACGUAUCCUAAAUGCUGAGCUAAUCUUGGCUUUGGGUUUUUCCCUGCUGCAGGGCCAUCCUCUGGGCCUUCUGGGCCUCCCUCGCCUCCCUCGCCUUCCCUUCAGCUACAGCUCCAAUGGAUGCUGGGCAAACACCCAUCUGUGGAAUCCUCGCUGCUGGACACAGUGCUUCCCCACAGGCCAACUAAGUGAAGGACCUGGGGCCCAGAGUCAGGCUUGUAGGCUGCUUGUGGCUGCUUCUCUCAGUUCUGGGUCUGUGACUGGCCUCUCAGCCCCAGAAACAAAAGGGUAGCAGUCUCGGACACUCCUGACUGGCUCUCUCUCCCUCCCGGAUCUGAGCUGGCAGAGUUAGUCCGCCAGCAGCUGGGGAGGAGGGCUAUGCACUGGGAAACUGACAGCACGGGCACUGAAUCUUCUGCUCCAGACCCUCCUUCUCCGAGAAGCUUCCAAGAGGGCAGGUACCAAGUGCUGUCUGGGACUAGCCUCUCAGCCCCAGAGACAGAAGGGUACUUCCCAAACCCACUUCACCCAGUGACACUGGGCCAUCGCAGAAAACACAGCAAGUCCCUGCAGUCCCAGCCCCCCCGCCAUGGCACUGUCUGCCAGAAUCCACACCUGCCUCCUCUUUCCCCACCUGCUGACUCCUGGGGAGAGACAGAUGUGUCCUUGACCUUUAUGACACCAGCUGCAUUAACACAGCUGAUCCUGGUCAUCUGCAGACCCCUUUGCCUUCACACUGUCCUCAGAGUCUGCUCAGCUGCCCAACCCCGGUGCCUGGUCCAGAGGUUAUAUGUGAUGCUGGAGUGCCCAAAGUACUUGCUGUAUUUCAACAAUGCGUCAAGUCAUCACCACCUCAAGUGCUUUGGAAGAUGCUGUGAUUUGGAAAGCACUGUCGAAAUGUAA
rnacentral:lncRNA from 13 species